GCUGCCUGGCACAGAAAGUGGUGGAUUAGUCACGACUUUCCUCUAAUCGAGCUAAAAAUAACCAAUUUUAGGGAUUUCUGGAAUUUACAAAGCUCUGAAUUCCACCUAAAUUGUAUUUUCUUAUAUUUCUUUGCCUGAAUGAGGGGUUUUGGUGGCUUAUAAAUAUUGAUUCUGUUCUGAAAAUGACCAUUUCCCACAGCCACACUUUCCCCAGUGAGCUGGCCAAUGCUCCCAAGGGGAUCUCCAGCAGGUGACAGACCCUGUGCUGGCAGCACAGGCACAUUCCUUACUUCUUGUGGCUGCUGGAAGGGCUAAACCAGAGUUUGGAGGUGUCUGCAGGGAAAAGGCAGCUCUGUGGCCACCCCAAGGCACAAGGAAUUGUUGUUCUGAGCUCUGCCCUGAACUACCCAACACCUCAGCCUGACCCACACAAACCGUGGUUUCCCUCCCAGAAUUCCCAAACUGCAGGACAUUUUUAACUCCACAUUAAAUUCAAAGCUUCUUUCAGACUGAGCAGGGAAAAGGGGUUUGAGUGGAAAAUGAAGGUUAUGGUGAGGAGUCUGCUCUGAGAGCUGCUGGGGAAAGGGAGGAAGGAGGUGCAGGAUCCCUGCCCACUGUGGAAUCCUCCUGGAGCAUACCU